rnacentral:lncRNA from 1 species
GGGACCCAAAAGGGACCCGGUGACCCAAAACGGACCUCGGGGCACCCAAAAGGGGACCCAAAAGGGGACACAAAAGGGACCCGGUGACCACCCAGGGGACCCAAAAUGGACCUGAGGGACUCAAAAAGGACCCAAAAGGGACCCAGAGACCACCCAGAGGACCCAAAAUGGACCUGAGGGACCCAAAAGGGGACCCAAAAGGGACCCGGUGACCACUGGGGGCCCCAAAAGGGACCUGAGUGACCCAAAAUGGACCUGGGGGCACCCAAAAGAGACCCAAAAGGGACCCGGAGACCACCCAGAGCACCCAAAAUGGACCUGAGGGACCCAAAAGGGACCCGGUGACCACCGGGGCCACCCAGGGGUCCCCGUCCUGCCCCCCCCCGCCCUCACCCUGUGCACCCAGGGGGGCAUGGCGUGGGUGGCGGGCGAGCGGUGGUGCAGGUUGAGGACGCCGACGCUGAGGAUGACGCAGAGCGUGAGCAGCACCAGGGUGCCCGUCAGGUAGCGCCCGAUGAGCGGCACGGCCAGCGAGGUGGCCGGCACUUUGUCGGCCAGCAGCAGCAGGAACACCGUCAGCGUCAGCAGCGCGAACAGCGACAGCGUCAUCUUCUCCCCUGCGGCGCGCGUGCGCGACUGUGUGAUGCACCGCAGCGUGCGGCGCUCCCGUGCAAUGCUCCCGUGCAAUGCUCCCGUGCAAUGCUCUCGUGCACUGUAUCGUGCGGCGCUCCCGUGCAAUGCAGCGUGUGGUGCUCCCGUGCAUGCUCCCAUGCAAUGCUCUCAUGCACUGCAUCGUGUGGUGCGGCGUGCGGUGCUCCCGUGCAAUGCAUCGUGCGGUGCUCCCGUGCAUGCUCCCAUGCAAUGCUCCCAUACGGUGCUCCCGUGCAAUGCAGCGUGCAAUGCAGCGUGUGGUGCUCCUGUGCAAUGCUCCCAUGCAGUGCUCCCAUACGGUGCUCCCGUGCAAUGCAGCGUGUGGUGCUCCUGUGCAAUGCUCCCAUGCAAUGUUCCCAUAAGGUGCUCCCGUGCAAUGCAGCGUGCAAUGCAGCGUGUGGUGCUCCUGUGCAAUGCUCCCAUGCAGUGCUCCCAUGCGGUGCUCCCGUGCAAUGCUCCCAUGCAAUGCUCUCAUGCACUGCAUCAUGUGGUGCAGUGUGCAGUGCUCCCGUGCAGUGCUCCCGUGCAGUGCUCCCGUGCAAUGCUCCUGUGCACCGCAUCGCAUGGUGCGGCGUGCGGUGCUCCCGUGCAAUGCAUCGUGCGGUGCUCCCAUGCAAUGCUCCUGUGCAAUGCAACGUGUGGUGCUCCCAUGCAAUGCUCUUAUGCACUGCAUCGUGUGGUGCGGCGUGCAGUGCUCCCGUGCAAUGCUCCCAUGCAAUGCUCCCGUGCAAUGAUCCCGUGCAAUGCUCCCGUGCAAUGCUCCCGUGCACUGUAUCGUGUGGUGCUCCUGUGCAAUGCAUCGUGUGGUGCUCCUGUGCAAUGCUCCUGUGCAGUGCUCCCGUGCAAUGCAUCGUGCGGUGCUCCCGUGCAAUGCUCCCAUGCAACGUUCUCAUGCACUGCAUCGAGUGGUGCAGCGUGUGAUGCUCCUAUGCAUCACGGCAUGUGGUGCAGCAUGCGGUGCUCCCGUGCAAUGCUCCCGUGUGGUGCUCCUGUGCAAUGCAUCGUGUGGUGCUCCUGUGCAGUGAUCCCGUGCAAUGCUCUCGUGCGCUGCAUCGUGUGGUGCAGCAUGUGAUGCCCCCCAUGCAAAGCAGCAUGCAACGCGGCGUGCAAUGCACCGUGCGUUGCAUUGUGUGGUGCAGCGUGCAAUGCAACGUGCGGUGCUCCCGUGCAAUGCUCUCGUGCACUGCAUUGAGUGGUGCGGCGUGCGGUGCUCCCGUGCAAUGCAGCGUGCAACACGGCACGCAACGCACUGUGCAUUGUGCAAAGCAUCGUGUAAUGCAUCCUGCAAUGCCCCCGUGCAACACAUCUUGCGACGCCCGUGUGCAACGCACAGUGCAAUGCCCUUGUGCAAGGUGCUGUGCAACACCCCCACGUGCCCCCCGUGCAAGCUCUGACACAAACCACGCAAAGUCCACGUGCAAAUGCUUCGGCUGUGCAACACCCCCCCACCCCCAAACCCUGCUGUGAAUCUGCAACGCCCUGGUGCAAACCCCUCGUGCGACCACACACACACACACACCCCCGGCCCUUGCACGAGCCCCCCCCCCCCUCGUGCAACGCACCGGCGUCGGGGGGCAGGUAGAAGGCGCCGACGGCGAGCAGCGUGAUGAGCACGCAGGGCACGAGGACGUUGACGAUGUAGAAGAGCGGCUUGCGGCGGAUCACCAGGUAGAAGGUGACGUCCUCGUGCGAGCCGGCGGCGUGGUGGCGGCCGUGCCGGUGGCACAGCUCCCACUGCCCGUUCUCUGCACGGCGCCGCCAAGCGUGAGGCCCCGUGCAAAGCCCCCCG